rnacentral:rRNA from 1 species
UACGGAGGGUGCAAGCGUUAUCCGGAUUCACUGGGUUUAAAGGGUGCGUAGGUGGGCUAGUAAGUCAGUGGUGAAAUCUCCCGGCUUAACCGGGAGGGUGCGUUAGAAACUGUUCUGCUGGAGUGAGGGAGAGGCAAGCGGAAUUCCUGGUGUAGCGGUGAAAUGCGUAGAUAUCAGGAGGAACACCCGUGGUGCAGACGGCUUGCUGGACCUCCACUGACGCUGGAGCACGAAAGCGUGGGGGAGCAAACAGG